AAGAAAAACUAUUUCUAUUUAUAUAAGAAAAAUUUCUAAGUAGUUUCAAACUUUUAAAUAUUUUUAUUUUUUGCAAUUUAUAUAAAUUUUAUGAUAAAUAUUUUAUUAUAAUAUAUUUUUUUAUAAAACUAUAAUAAUUAAAAUAUGUUAUUGUAUUUUAUUUUAAAAUAAUUAUCACAAGAUUUUGAUAAUUUUAAUUGUAAAUAUAAAUAUUUAUUUCUAUUUUGUUGUAUUAUUUCAAAGUAACGCAUUAAUUAAUUUUUGAAAAACAAAAAAAAAUACUGCAAAACCAAAAACCAAAAACCAAAAUCUAAAUCUAGAAACCAAAAACCAAAAGCUGGAAAACAAAAACCAAAAUCUAAAAACUAAAAACUAAAAUCUAAAAACCGAAAACUAAAACUAAAAACUACAGAAACAAUCAUCACCUAUAUAUAGACCCAACCACAUUCCUCUAUGUUCCUCAUAAAUAGAUGAAUUAGUGAAGAAGUAUUUUCCUCUUCUAAAAUUGAUAAGUAACGUUUGUUCUUCAAUGUUGAAUUUUUUUUUUUUUCAAUUCAAUUCUUUGAAUGAAAGUUUUUCAAUUUUUUCCUGUACAUGUUGUUAAUUUUAUUUAAUUAACUCUUCAAUAUUCAAUUUCUUUACUAUGGAGCUUAAUACUUUAACUAAUUAUUAAUUUUUAUCUAUUUUUGUACAUUAAUUUUUAAAUUAUAUUUAUUUUAUUAUUCAAACAAUUUUUAUCUUAAUAAUUUUUUAAAAAAAAUUUAAUAAUGAGAAUAUUUGAGAACUACUUUUUUUUUUUUUUUUUUUUAUAAUAAUUCCCCAAGUUUUAUAGAUUUCGACAUCAACAAGUUAACAACAAUGAAAAUUUGGUCUCAGAGAGUUUAAAAAAACUAUGGACCCCAUGCGCAUGUUUCUUAGGAAUGGUCCAAGACAGGCACUGGCAAGCCCUUAACAAGAUUAACAUACUUUUCUCUGGAUGUCGUCUCGUCUGCAUCACCCGGCAGGAUAAGAAACUUUGCGGUUCGCCCCCUAUGGCAGGCAAGUGUAUCUAUGAACUCUGGAAGGAAUAUAAUAAUAAUCUUUUCCACAAUGGUGUUUAAUCAGAAACAAAAUUACUGCUCUUCACAAAGCGGGCAAAAAGUGGGAAUUAAUCAGAGAGGGUUGGGUUUUGGUCCUCGGUUUAACUAUUUACCAUUAGACUUUUGUUUCUUUUCACUAUGUAUACCUUUCGCCACUAGAUGGCCAUCCCCCUAUUUCUC
rnacentral:lncRNA from 1 species